GCACCACAAGAACGCGUGGAGCAUGUGGCUUAAUUUGACUCAACACGGGAAAUCUUACCGGGUCCGGACAUACCGAGGAUUGACAGACUGUUAACUGCAACACGAGCUGCUAAGUUUUAAACUUAAUAGCUCUUUCAUGAUUAUAUGAUAGGUGGUGCAUGGCCGUUCUUAGUUUGUGGAGUGAUCUGUCUGCUUAACUGCGUUUCAAAAUUUAAACCUGAGCGACAAGGUGCUGCUAUCGAAACUGUCUUUGAGUGUGAACUAUAAGUCUUUUGACUUAUGACCAUCACUCUAGACGUUUAUGUUUUGGUGUUGGCUCUUGAUGCUCAUUUGAACGCAACGGACGUGAUUGCAACCCCUUGUUGAGAUUUAUCCGAUCUCUACGUUCACUGAACCACACUCUUUAGCGAGAGCAGUGGGGAUGUGGAUAAACUCGGGGGACUGCUGACUAUAAACUUUUCUCAAACCAGAGGAAGGUUGCGGCAAUAACAGGUCUGUGAUGCA
rnacentral:rRNA from 1 species